UACGUAGGGUGCGAGCGUUAAUCGGAAUUACUGGGCGUAAAGCGUGCGCAGGCGGUUCGUUGUGUCGGCGGUGAAAGCCCCGGGCUCAACCUGGGAAUGGCCGUUGAAACUGGCGAACUGGAGUGUGGCAGAGGGGGGUGGAAUUCCGGGUGUAGUGGUGAAAUGCGUAGAGAUCCGGAGGAACCCCAGAGGCGAAGGCGGCGCCCUGGCUCGCAACUGACGCUCAGACACGACAGCAUGGGGAGCGAACGGG
rnacentral:rRNA from 1 species